GGAAGCGUGGCCGAGUGGUUGAAGGCUCUCGUCUUGAAAACGAGCAUGCGAGAGAUCGCAUCGUGGGUUCGAAUCCCACCGCUUCCGCCA
rnacentral:tRNA from 1 species